rnacentral:lncRNA from 1 species
UUUUUUUUUUUUUUUUUAAAUGAGUUGGAGUCUCGCUUUGCUGCCCAGGCUGGAGUGAAAUGGUGCAAUCUCGACUCACUGCAACCUCUGCCUCCAGAGUUCAGGCAAUUCUCCUGCCUUAGCCUCCUGAGUAGCUGGGAUUACAGAUGCCCACCCCCAUGACCAGCUAAGUUUUGGAUUUUUAGUAGAGACAGGAUUUCACCAUGUUGGCCAGACUGGUCUCGAACUCCUGGCCUCCCAAAGUGCUAGGAUUACAGGCAUGAGCCACUGCGCCUGGCCAAGACCUUCAGAUUUUUUUAAGCCAAAUUUUAAAAAUGUAGAAUUGCCAGAUUUUAAGCAUUGAGAACUAAUUAAAAUUUGAAGAUGGAACAAAACAUGUCGACCCACAGGCCCCCAGUGGGAGCUCUGCUCUCUAGUCUGGUUGCCCGUAGCAGGCUGCUCACAGCUUCCUGGGAAAACCGAGUAUCCUCACCCCUCCACAGCUGGCUUGGGGCUGUGCCUUCCAUGACUUGUGUAAUUCAUGAGAGCCUUCUCUUCCACUCUUUUUUGUUUGAGACAGGGCCUUGCUCUGCCACCCAGGCUGGAGCGCAGUAGUGUGAUCUCUGCUCACUGCAGCCUUGACCUGCUGGGCUCAAGCAAUCCUCCCGCCUCAGCCUCCCAAGUAGCCGGGAUACAGCAUGCACCACCACACUUGGCUAAUUUUUUAAUUUUUUUUUUUUAGAGACAGGGUCUUGCUAUGUUGCCCAGGCUGGUCUCCAACUCCUGGCCUCAAGUGAUCCUCCCUCUUUGGCCUCUCAAAGCACUGGGAUUACAGGCACGGGUCACCCUGCUGGCCCUCCUCCACUCAACUCAGUACAACCUGCCAUCCACUGCCUUGACUUGGGGUUGCCAGAUAUCCUAGAAUGCCCAGUGCCAUCUGAAUUUCAGUCAACAAUGAAUCCAUUUAAUUGAAGUAUGCCCUAAAUAUUGCAUCAGACAUACUUAGACGAAAAAUGACGCAUUGUUUAUCUAAAAUUUAAAUGUAAGUGGGUGUCCUUUAUUUCCUCUGCUAAAUCUGGCAAACCUACCUCAGCUACACCACAUCCACCUUGCAUUCUUUCCGGACACUGCUCUAGGUGCUGGGGAUACAGCAAGAAUAAAACAGAUCAGAAGAAAAUCCCUUUGCACAUGGUGCUUCUGCGCUGCAGGCAGAAGAGAGGCAGUUUCCUCUUCUAUUCCAACAUCAUUUUGGCUCAAGGGUUUAUAACAGGAGUAAGGACGAGUAUCGCUGGGUCAGAGCCCUGGCUCUACCACCUGUCAGUUGUGCUGCUGAGCCUGUGGGCCAUUAACGAGCCCAUCACUGAAAUGGGGCAACAGUGCCUUUGCUGCAGGUCAUGAACCAGAGGUGACACAUACAUACUUAGAACAAUGUCUGGCAUGAAGUAAGUGGCCGGUGCAUUGAACCAGGUGACACAUGGCACUGUUUCUUGUUUCCAUUUCUGUGCCCCCCUUACCCCCAAA